UAAAUAAUUUAAAUUUUAUUUAUAUCAUCCAGUUUUUCUUUAAUAAUAUAAGUAUCUGUUUGCAUCACGCACGAAACGUUCGUCACACACUGUGCAACUGUUGCAGCACGUGAGUUAGUGUGCGGAAGGACCUGAACCCACAGCAGGGCGAUUUGCGUGCAUUUCGAUCAACUAUUGUGCUCUCUGCAACAGAGAAAAUCGAUCGAGGAAAACCAUUGCACCGAUUGAAAGGAAUUUAUCCGACUCCGGGUACUUCCGUGGGCCAGUGUGGACACUGCAUCCACAACCCGGGAUCAAACGCAGGUUCGAUUGCGGCGGUUGCUUAGGCUUGGGCGAUUGUGGCGUAGUUUGUAAGUGUCGUUAA